rnacentral:rRNA from 1 species
CAGCAGCCGCGGGAAUACGUAGGGUGCAAGCGUUAAUCGGAAUUACUGGGCGUAAAGCGUGCGCAGGCGGUUCGCUAAGACAGAUGUGAAAUCCCCGGGCUUAACCUGGGAACUGCAUUUGUGACUGGCGGGCUAGAGUAUGGCAGAGGGGGGUAGAAUUCCACGUGUAGCAGUGAAAUGCGUAGAGAUGUGGAGGAAUACCGAUGGCGAAGGCAGCCCCCUGGGCCAAUACUGACGCUCAUGCACGAAAGCGUGGGGAGCAAACAGGAUUAGAUACCCCAGUAGUCCCUGUCUCUUAUAC